GUGGGGAAUAUUGCACAAUGGGCGCAAGCCUGAUGCAGCCAUGCCGCGUGUAUGAAGAAGGCCUUCGGGUUGUAAAGUACUUUCAGCGGGGAGGAAGGCGAUAAGGUUAAUAACCUUGUCGAUUGACGUUACCCGCAGAAGAAGCACCGGCUAACUCCGUGCCAGCAGCCGCGGUAAUACGGAGGGUGCAAGCGUUAAUCGGAAUUACUGGGCGUAAAGCGCACGCAGGCGGUCUGUCAAGUCGGAUGUGAAAUCCCCGGGCUCAACCUGGGAACUGCAUUCGAAACUGGCAGGCUAGAGUCUUGUAGAGGGGGGUAGAAUUCCAGGUGUAGCGGUGAAAUGCGUAGAGAUCUGGAGGAAUACCGGUGGCGAAGGCGGCCCCCUGGACAAAGGCUGACGCUCAGGUGCGAAAGCGUGGGGAGCAAACAGGAUUAGAUACCCCUGUAGUCC
rnacentral:rRNA from 1 species